rnacentral:lncRNA from 1 species
CCUAAUCUGGUUGGAAAGACAGAUAAACAGUUGUUUACUGAACAUAAUAUGAAAAAAUCUCUUUGUAAAGCAACAUGAACACACAAAUAUAUGUGUACUUGAGGAAUAAACUCAACUACUGAGUUUAUUCCUCAAACUACUGAGGAGAGGAAAGAUGUCUGGAGUGCUAUGAAUUAAAUCUACUUAGUUUUCCUUUUGGUUCCAUUCAUUUCUCUCUCCAGCUGCUGCUUUCUGAUAAUCUGCCCAUUUGCCUUGUGAUAAACACAUCUGUCACUUCCUUGGAUGCCUUAUGUAAUAUCUACUAUGGAUUCACUAGCGUUGACCAGCACAGUAGCGGCACUGUAACUCGGGCCUGAAGGAAGCUCACCUAACACAGAGAUUUUCUCCGUAAAAUCAUCACAGCCUUCCUGCACUUACACACUCUAGACAGAACUUCAGCACUACACUUGGGGGCCAUUCUAAAGAGCAAAAUCACCAAAAAGUCCUCUCCUUGGGGCAUGGCCACUCUCCAGCAGAUCAAGGUGUCUGGUUUGACCCAAACCUCCACUCUUAUUUUCUGCUUAAACUCAGAGUACCUGAGCAUCAUGGAAAUGGAAUAUUCUAGAGAGAAGAGUUCUCCGUGGUCUUUUGUGCUAAAGGGGACCCCCUCUCCACUCUACCCCAUUUCUAUAGCUCCAUUUGAGAUUGUGUCACAUCCAGAGAAAAGCAUUUAACUGGAACGCAGCGUAAUGCAUUGGAUUGCUGGCCUUGAACAUUCAGGGUCUCAUGAACUCAUUGUCUCAGGCACCAGAAAGGAAAACUUCAGAGAUGAUUGGACAAGGGACAUUGGGUUCCUGAUACCCAACUUGGGAAUCAUUCUCUAAAUAUGACAUUUUGUUUUUACUUCUAGUAGAAAAUAUCAUAUAUGCUGAUGAAGAAUGAUCUUAAUUUUUGGAGGGGAAAACAGCUAUCAUACACUCUCACAUCUGCCCGCCAGCCUCUGGGCCUCUGGCUGACGCUAGUGCAGUUGUCCUCCAGGACAGCAGCGAACGUUUGACCAAUUUAUCCCCCGGAGAUGGUUUUGUGACUCUGGCUUUGAAAUGGAGUAAACACCUUCUCCCAUGAGACAUGGAGCCAGCCAGCCAAGGCUCAGGCCUCGCCUGUUCUGAGGAAUUAAAGAAGAUUGAGAAAUGUAGCUCUGCUUCUUGCCGAGAGAGCCCCGUCAAGAAACUGCUUUGAAGCCUUCUGCUCUAUCAGCGCUGGGAGACUUUGGCACGUGAGGUUAUCUUCACAAUGGCGGCCAGGCAGCCCCCCCUCACCCCUACCCCUCGUGUCCACACAGCAAAGAACACUUUGAACUGUGUUGGUUGCACGUCUGCUUCUAUGCAGGUCCUUGGAUCUCUGAUUUUUGGACCCAGGCCAUCCUCUGAUAAGGGCGCGGGACUUGCCUCCCUGCUCCCCACACCAGAGGCUGCUCCCACCAAAUACAGUUUUCUGUUGCUGAGUCAGAGUAAACACAAGGCGGUUAGCAUUGCAGCUUGAUGUCUGCUGCAUAGGGAAGAAUGAAGGAGACGAAGUGGCCGCUUUCUGGAGAUGAGGAAUGAUUGGUAGUUUUACUCUGCAGUUCCUCCACCCUCCAGUUUGCUUUCCUGUUUUCCACAAAUCUGUCAGUGCCUCAGUAUCACCCAGCACUACACUGGGAGUGAAGAGAUGUGUACCCGGCCAUGUGGCACUGGCGGGGCGGGGCUGACUCCCUGACAGUGAGUGGCCCUCCCUCCUUUGGUUUGAUUGAAGCUGCUGGAGCUGGCGUCUGGAGAUGAUGAUUGAACACACUGCAUCUUUCACAAGCUGUCCUCAGAGACAGACAUCUUCAGAACUUGGGUUCUUUCCAAAAGCCGAACAGUGUGUUUUGACACAGGAAAAUGGAAAAGUCCUUUAUAACCAGGAAGCAGGUGGCUUUAUCCUGGCUCCUCCUCAUCCAGCUCUCAGAGGCUACCCCUGCGAAGCC